GUUCGAGACGCUGUUCUUCAGCCGCCGCAUUCUUGUCUACGCUGUCCACACCGCCCUCCGGCUACAGUCCCAGCUACAUCAUCGAUGGUGGCUUGCGAUGAUGUCGGCUUGAGGAAUGUCAAAGACAGCCUGCUGGGUGGGCGCCUGGCUGGCCCCUCACUGGCUGGGCUGGACGCCGGGUAAAAAAGGGGCAUAAUAGAACAGAUGGACAUGGAAGAAAAGAACAGACCGGCUUCUCCUUCCUUCCCUCAUCGUCCUCCUCCAGCUUCUUCUCCUCUUCUCUACUCCGGUUCUUUCCUGCUGCUGCCCACUUCCUUCCCAGUCUACCUUCUCUCCUACUCAAUCUAGUUGCUGAUUUCCCUUCUAUGCUCUACUUCCUCUCCAGUUAGUAUUCCAUCGUUGUACGGACUUGAUUGGGCACAAUAUCUCUGUGAGAUUUAACUCUUGCUGGUGUUCCGAGUCGAUUGAGUGCUCGAUUGAGUGUUUGAUCCCCUAGGUCCGUGACACCACUUUUUAUAUUACGACAACAAAGAUAACAAACUCUCUUCUGGAGACGUCGGUUUCUGGUGGGUUGGCAGAAGGUCCGGCACAGAGACGGAUGAAGAUGCGAGCUAAUCAAAGUGGCAAUCGGGUGGCUGGUGGUUUCAUUUGACGUAAUAAUGGUCGACGCGACGCGACGGGACACGAGGAAUGAAUGUGUUCAACUAUACUUUGCACAUAUGUUCCUGCGGCGCUGUUGACGACACGCCUUUGUUCGGACCAAAUUAGAGGACGCCGCACAGGCUUGCAUGGACACAUCGUCUCCAUCAAGCGGCCAGGGCCAUCAGCCGACAUGGACCACUAGGGGUUAAUUUGCUGAAGAAUGACUCGUGCUGGCAAAUAAAUACGACGAUGUUGGUGA